GAUGAACGCUGGCGGCGUGCCUAAUACAUGCAAGUCGAGCGAACAGACGCGGAGCUUGCUCCUCUGACGUUAGCGGCGGACGGGUGAGUAACACGUGGAUAACCUACCUAUAAGACUGGGAUAACUUCGGGAAACCGGAGCUAAUACCGGAUAAUAUAUUGAACCGCAUGGUUCAAUAGUGAAAGACGGUUUUGCUGUCACUUAUAGAUGGAUCCGCGCCGCAUUAGCUAGUUGGUAAGGUAACGGCUUACCAAGGCAACGAUGCGUAGCCGACCUGAGAGGGUGAUCGGCCACACUGGAACUGAGACACGGUCCAGACUCCUACGGGAGGCAGCAGUAGGGAAUCUUCCGCAAUGGGCGAAAGCCUGACGGAGCAACGCCGCGUGAGCGAUGAAGGUCUGCGGAUCGUAAAACUCUGUUAUUAGGGAAGAACAAAUGUGUAAGUAACUAUGCACGUCUUGACGGUACCUAAUCAGAAAGCCACGGCUAACUACGUG
rnacentral:rRNA from 1 species